CAAUCAAUAUUUGUUGUUAUUUUUAUGCGCAUUUUUUCACCAUGGCGUUCCGUUUGUCCGCUUCGUGGAAUAUUUUCCGGGUUUAAAACUUUAGCGACAUGUACGAUCGACGCCAGUUGAUUGCGGCCUUAAAGUUCAAUUCCUUACGGGAUCGGGGGCACCGUGCACUGAUCCGGGUAGUUUUUGGCCUGCAUUGUCGACAUGAGAUAAGAAGCAGCUGAUGCCACGAUUUCUGAAGUACGUUACUUGCACUGUAUCGGUCGAUUGUACACUUCCAGAAACGAAUGGGACAUUAAAUCACAACGAUGCGGAAGUAUUAACGGAGAUGGUUGGUAAAGUGCGCAGAGCGACACUAGAUGGGAAAUUUUGUGAUUGCCCGACAUAUACCCAGAAUCAGCAACAUAUGUGUUCUGGAUGUUCCGUUUGUAAAUAAAUAUCCAAAGAACACAUGACAUACCUUGUCAAAAUGUAAACAAAACAGCUCUUGGCGGUAGUGGAGCUUAUUCAACGGAACAUGACAACUAACUGACAAGAUUAUGCUCUUGCUCCUACCAAUGGUGAGUGUGUCGUUCUUGAGCAUAGAUUAAAAAGGCUGCGUGUUCCCGUAUGCGAUGCGCUUGUAGGAAACGAUUUAAACUUUGAGAAAAGAUACUAUGUAAGCAUCUACAGACUUCAAUUUAACUAUGUUAUAAAAAUAUGCAAAUGAAAAAAUGUAUGAAUCACAAUUUUGCUGGAAAUUCAAUUU